rnacentral:lncRNA from 1 species
GAUGGAACAGCAAGCCAUAGAAGAACAAAAUUUUGUAAAUAGACAAUCCUCUCUUGUCCGCCAACAACAAAGAGAGAAGAGUAAACUGCCUGACUUACAUGAAAAUAGAUGUCACAGUAAUAUUUAUUUACUGCAAAUUAAAAGUUUUCUGUGAGAAUUUGUAUAACCAAAUUUUUUUGAUGGAACCAUAACAUAACAUGGCAUUUGCAUUUUUUUUUUUUUUUUUUUUUUUUUUUUUUUUGAACAACUAACAUGGCAUUUGCAUUAAAUUACCCUUUUAUAUUUAUCGUAAAAUGUUGAUCUGUGUAAUUAGUUUAUAGUAUGCCAUCACAUAUACUUUAUAAUUUUCUUUUGUUUCAAAUUUAUUUAUCUUAAGCUCGUUAAAAAUAGAUGAUUAUACAUUUUGUUUAAUAAUAUGUUCUUAGAGAAACGGGCGCGUGUGAGAUGGUAUAUCUAGUUCUUUUAAUGCGUGUAUGUAUAAGAAUUGGACAAAAUAUGAGAAAAAGAAAAUGGUCCCAUGAAAGAGGAAAUAGAUGCAAAAUUUUGGUGGAAUUAAUAUACAAAAAAAAAAGAAAUAUAGAAAAAUAAAGAAACAAAAACAAAAAAUAAAACGGAGGACCACUUAAACACAUCUCAUGAACAGUCACAUACCAAAUUCCGAAACUAUUAGUUUUGAUUAUGUAAAACCAAUUUUUUUGGAUAAUUCUUAUCAUGUGAUUUUCUGAUGAUCUGGUCUAAUAGUUCUAUAUAAUUUAACAAAUGUAGCGUAUUUGCUAUAUAUUAAAUAUAAAUGAUUAUAAAAACAUCCUGAGUUAGACAAUGGAUUUCUAGUUUCUU